UGGUGUUUGUCCUUUCGUGACUGGCUCAUUUUGCUUAGCAUAAUGUCCUCAGGGUUCAUUCAGGUUGUAGUGAGUGAGAGGAUUCCUCUUCUUUAAAAGGCUGAAUGACCUUCCAUCUUGAGCCUAGACAUACUUUGUUUAUCCAUUUGUCCGCCUCAGCGGACUUUUGAGUCACUUUAACCUCUUGGCCGCUGUAAACCGUGUUGCUAUAAACUGUUCCAUCGAAUGGAUACACCCCAUUAAACCUGGUCCCUGUGGAUGCUGCCACUGUUCAUUACCAUCACAUCUAAGAGCACACUGAUGCCCAGUGGCCAUGAAGACAGAAGCGAAACCACAGUGAAGAGAAGGCUUCUUAGAAGAUGUAGUCCCGAAAUGACAUACAUCACAUCCGCUGCAU